GGAAUUUGUGCUGAAUUUAAUUUUUAAAAACCAUGUAUAAUCUUUUUCAGAUGUUGGAUAGAGAAGAUUUAGUACGCUUUUCUAAGGAGCCCAGUCCUCAGUAUGUGUUCGGCCCUUAUGACUUAUCAAAACCAGGGACAGGAGAUUUUUCCAGGAAACGAAAAUGGAUAUUUAACAAAAAAUGAAACAAAAAAACAACGGACAUGAAUAAUUACUUUCUUGUAAAUGAUUAAUUUUUCAUUCAUUAACAUGUGUCUGCAGAAUAUGUAACUAGCUCUAGUUACAAAUUCAGAAAGUUACAAAGCUCGGUAUCUCCUCGGUUUACCUGAUUGUAAUUCUAUAUACUCCAAUACAUUUACAAAUGGCAUUGUGCACAAGUGCCUUAAUAAAAUGUUAUUU
rnacentral:lncRNA from 1 species